rnacentral:rRNA from 1 species
CCCGAAACCCGGUGAUCUAGCCAUGGGCAGGUUGAAGGUUGGGUAACACUAACUGGAGGACCGAACCGACUAAUGUUGAAAAAUUAGCGGAUGACCUGUGGCUGGGGGUGAAAGGCCAAUCAAACCGGGAGAUAGCUGGUUCUCCCCGAAAGCUAUUUAGGUAGCGCCUCGUGAAUUCAUCUCCGGGGGUAGAGCACUGUUUCGGCUAGGGGGCCAUCCCGGCUUACCAACCCGAUGCAAACUGCGAAUACCGGAGAAUGUUAUCACGGGAGACACACGGCGGGUGCUAACGUCCGUCGUGAAGAGGGAAACAACCCAGACCGCCAGCUAAGGUCCCAAAGUCAUGGUUAAGUGGGAAACGAUGUGGGAAGGCCCAGACAGCCAGGAUGUUGGCUUAGAAGCAGCCAUCAUUUAAAGAAAGCGUAAUAGCUCACUGGUCGAGUCGGCCUGCGCGGAAGAUGUAACGGGGCUAAACCAUG